rnacentral:tRNA from 2 species
AAUAAGGUAAGCUAAUAAAGCUUUUGAGUUCAUACCUCAACGAUAAAUUCUUUUCCUUGUUA